ACUGACAUGGGUGUUUUCCAUAUGCAGGCUUUGUAAAGAAUCCACAGCUGGGGCAAAGGAAUAAAAGAAUUGAACCCACCUCCAAGGUGAAUAGCUCCCUCUUGUGAAAGCUGUUAGAAGCACACUGGAAAAAUAUGGUUGGUCUAUUCAGAGCUGCAAAACCUUGUGCAGUGGCACAAAUGCAGCUGAAAGGAAAUGGAUGGAACAAGAAGUGACAACAAAGAAAUAAAAAGCAGGUGACCUAGAAGAUUCUCGCAGAGGUAAGGUACUGGAAGUUGUGGCGAAGAGUUCAGGGCAUGGCUAAAAUAAGUUUGAAUCUCAUGCUAGGGCAGGCUUCCCCAAACUUGGCCCUCCAGGUGUUUUGGGACUACAACUCC